rnacentral:rRNA from 1 species
AUACGUAGGGGGCGAGCGUUGUCCGGAAUGAUUGGGCGUAAAGGGCGCGUAGGCGGCCUGUUAAGUCUGGAGAGAAAGUCCCGCUUUUAAGGUGGGAAUUGCUUUGGAAACUGGCGGGCUUGAGUGCAGGAGAGGUUAGUGGAAUUCCCGGUGUAGCGGUGAAAUGCGUAGAGAUCGGGAGGAACACCAGUGGCGAAGGCGACUAACUGGACUGUAACUGACGCUGAGGCGCGAAAGUGUGGGGAGCAAACAGGAUUAGAUACCCUGGUAGUCCACACGGUAAACGAUGAAUGCUAGGUGUAGGGGGUAUCGACCCCUUCUGUGCCGGAGUAAACACAAUAAGCAUUCCGCCUGGGGAGUACGGCCGCAAGGUUGAAACUCAAAGGAAUUGACGGGG